rnacentral:lncRNA from 1 species
CUUAUUGAUUUCUAUAGAAAUUCAGUUGUCAAACAACUUCAACAAGUUCAAGGCAAAUAUAACAUAAUAUUUAGUAGCAAAAUAACUAUUUGAGAUGCCAUAUCUGCUGAUAGUCAAUUGAAAACUGACCUCAAAAUCUCAAUGUCAACUGUAAUAGACACAAAUAACGGACAUAUAUUUCAUUCCGCUGCAAGUAUACUUAGAAAAGACAUCGAAACUCUACAGAAGAAUACCCA